rnacentral:lncRNA from 1 species
CCCUCCCUCUCUCUCUCUCUCUCCUCUCCUCCGCUGCUUAUCUCUACGCGCAUCGUCAGCACUAGUUUGAAGUCAAAUCUGACAGCCGCUGCCUUGUCCGCUCCUUCCGCCGCUCCAUCCACACUCUCUGGUGGUCGUCCCGUCUCCUUUAAAGAGGUAUACCCUCGGCUCUGGUGAGCCAAACACGUGUUAGCAUUGAUGCACUUUUUGAAAUGGGUGGAUGAUGGACUGACCUCGAUUGCCGCCCGGGAUGCUGCGAGCGCCUGCGACGCGCGCUCUCUCAAAUGCGCUUCUCACCUUUUUCCCUCUUCGCAGCUCAGUCGGGACUGUGGGACCGAAUCUGAUCCGCUGUCUUCAACUUGGGAAGAAGAAAGACACGGGAAACUCCUCGGGAUUCUCCAUACAUCGAGCGCUGAUCCGGACCUUGUGUUUUCCAUGUUAAAGCGCUUCUUAAGGGGAAUUCUGGGGAGAUUUCUUUCUCUUUCGUUCCACAAGGAUGAAGCAGCACAAUGAGGCAACCCACUAAAGCUGAUGCAGAGUUGUUCCACUUCACUUUGCUAAAACGCUGACACAGCAAAGGAGUGCGAGAAAAGAAAGAGAAACCGGAUGAUGAGUUCUUUGUUCUGCGAAGGAGAUUGAGUCAAACAAGAGAGAUUUGUUCUCGGCAACAGAAAGUAAGUGAAGAUGCUGUCAAGAGGAUUAAAGUUUAACCAAACAUCAACCGGGCCUCCUGGAGAGGCGAAUCGGCCGCUGUCGCACCGGACGGACGGAGGGAGACAGACGAGCAGACAAGACAAGACAGAGUGGUGAUCCCCAGCUGUCUUUAAAAAAAAACGCUGCUUCUGAUAUAUUAUUGAACACGUAGCUCUGCAACGCAUCGCUGAGCCUUCCUCUCAAGUUAGUGUUUGAGUUUGCAUAGCGUCAUCAUUCUAAAUAUAAAAGCAUUCGCUCAUCCCUUCCCAGCCUGCUAAAAGAUGAAGAGGCUGUACUUGUGCUGUGUGUGUGCGAGCGUAUGUGUGUGUGUGUGUGUGUGUGUGUGUGUGUGUGUGUGUGUGCGAGCAUAUGUGUGUGUGUGUGUGUGGUUCCCUAAGUUGCUACUUUCCUGUUUUGAAGCUGGCUGGAGUUUAGUG